CUCCCCGCGGGGAAGGUGGCGGUGGUCGUGCGGGGCAGCGCCGGGACGGGGACCCCCGCCCCACGGGAGCCGGAGCUCCGCACCUGCGGCCGCCGGGAUGCUCCCGGUGCCGGGCAGCGCGGCUCCCCCGGGGCUGAAGGUAGCUCUCGCGGCCCCCUGCCCGCUGCGGAGGACUCGGGCAGGAGCUGGAGCACAGCUGUGCGAGCCGGGGGCCGCGGGAGGCUGGUUUUACAGCCCCCCGGGGGGAGGAUGGGAUGGAUCGUCGUUGGAAAAGUGAGCGGUGCUGCUAAGUCUCGCCGGGCGCCGGGAAAUGAGGUUCUCAGCCUCCCUCGGGCUGUGUCGGGGGGAUACUCCUCAAGAUGCAGAACAGCUCUGGGAGUCCGUCCCACCAGACCCGCCUGCCUUUCUCCAGCGGGUGUUUCAUUCAGAGCAGAUCGCAGAGCUGUGCCGUGUCGCUGCAUUUCCCUCGUGUGUAAUUUAGAUCCUCUAACAUGCUCUACAGGUAGUUUGCUUUACUUAGUCAUCUAUGUGCUAUUGCCCAGCUUUUAUUUCAACGACUGUAGCCAAAGAAAAAAAAAAUAGCCUCUCUGAUGGUGCCCCGUCCAGCCCUCUGGAGACAAUAAAUGAACUCACUUUCAGCUUUGUAUGUGCCCUAAAGAAAAGCAAGUGUGAACACAGCUCUCCUAAAUCGUUCCCAUUUGUUUUUGUUCUUAAAGUUUUAAGAUGAGUUUUAAAUAAGUAAUGGCAUAUUUGCAGUAAAGAUGAUGAUCUGUUUGUAUUUAGGGCAUUAGCUUAAUUUAACCCUCUCAAGGAAACAAAACUCUGUGUAACUUCAGGCUGCUUCUGAACAGGACAUUUCUGAUCUUCCCCUGUGCUCCUGACCAUGCAUUUUCUCCUCCCUUGAACCUCUGUGGCAACUGCAUGACUGUGAGCUGGUUAGCCUAGUGGUCCUGAAUAACCUUGAUUUCUUUUGAUAGAAAAACUUUUAUGCCAGAUCACAUUGCCUUCUGUAGCUGCACCAAUCCUGUGCAAAGGAGAUGAUUCAUCAGCCCGCAGCAGGGGUGGUGGGUGGCGAGGAGUGAUGUCAGUUUGCACCUGCAGGCAUGCAGUCAAAAUGGGAUUGUGACUCUCUCAAUGGACAAGACUUGCGCAAAAAGCUAAAGGGUGUGCUGGUAGCACUGUGUGCCUCAGAAAUGCACAGGCUGGCACACAGAAGCCAGUUUCUAAUGUGAUCUGCUAUAUGUGUUUCUGACAGAGGCCACUAGUGCCAUAAUGGCCAUGGUCCUCCAAAGGAAACCUCAUCUGCCACAUCUUUUAUCCCAGUCACCAGCUUUGUACCCAGGACUGAAGUUGAGCUAAUCUCCCCUGGCACUCAGCUCUGUCCCUGCUUACCCUGGCCCUGUGCACCUGCUUGUCCUCUUUCUUGCAAGCAGCUCCUCUUCGUGGAGAACUAAAAUAUCUCCUGACUUCUUCUUUUUUUUUUUUUUUUUUUUUUUUUUUUUUUUUUUUUACAUGCAAAUACAAAAUAUUCAGGCUUACUUUUGAAAAAGUGUGGAGCCAGUGAGAUGCAGUGUAGAGGUCUGAGAGCUGGAACAGAAAGGCAGUUAAGUUUCCUUUGGCUUUUAUGUUGGAUACUGAGUUGCAUGAAUUUUAUUUUACAGUUAUUGAGAUAGUGUUACUCUUGAAAUAGCAGCUUGGCACUGCCUCCUGCCUCUCGUCUCAAAUUUACACAGUGAUAGCAUGAAUAAAAUCAGUUGUCCUCAUGGGCAGCAUUUCCUAUGGCCAAAACCAUAAUCAGCCCAGCAAGCCUCCUGUUGUUUUUUCUAGCAUUUGUAAUGCGAGAUAGUCGACUACGUGGGGAUUAAAGUUAUGCUUUGCUAAGCACACGUAGGUAUGUGGAUGUAUUGCAGAGAAAGAUACUCAGAAUAGUUGUAAUUCUGUAGCACUGCAUAGUACUAAUAUAAAUUUUAGGUUAAAUUAGGAUGAAAAAUGAAUAUUCUUAGUAUGACCAUGAAUUUGGGUUCUGGAUGAUAUUGAUAUACCCUACUAUGAUAAAGAGGAACAUAGAUAAUAAUACAUUGAGUUUCUUUUUGAGGGAGAGGUAAACUGGGUCUUUUAAUUGUGUGGUGUUUUUAUUACUAUUUUAUAAAUCCUUCAUGAUCUAGACCAAACUGGGUUCUUUUAAUUCUUCUUUUAAUUAAAAAGAUAGAUUAAUAAUUACAGGUUCAAACUUCAUUUUCAUGUUGUAUUUUGGAAUUAAGUGCUAGAUCGCUGGAGAUGACCUGUGUUCAUGCUGUAUCCUCAGUUCAACAUUUCCUAUGGAAUUUCAAUUUCCUCAUCUCUUCCCAUGGCUUUGACUAGGAAUGGCUACCACCAACUCUCAGAUUCUUAGAGUGAUUCUUCUCAUGAAUCACAGAUUGAUUGAGGUUGGAACAGACCUCUACAGGUCAUCUGGUCCAACACCCUUGCUCAAGUAGGGCCACCUGGAGCAUAUUACGCAGACAACCAUGUCCAGACGACUUCUGAAGAUCUCCAAGGAGGGAGUCUGCACAACUUUUCAAGGCAACCUCUUUCAGUGCUCAGUCACCUGUGGAGUAACGAGUUGCUUCCUGAUGCUCAUGAGGAACCUCCUGUGUUUCAUAUUGUGCCUGUUGCCUCUUGUCCUGUCACUGGGCACCACUGAAAGGAGCCUAUCUUCACCGUCUUUACACCUUCCCUUCAGGUGUUUGUGCACAUUGAUGUGUACAACCCACCUGAGCCUUUUCCUCAGGCUGAACAGCCCCAGCUCUCUUGGUCUUUCAUCAUAGGAGAGAUGCUCCAGACACUUCAUCAUGUUUGUGGCCCUCUGCUGGACUCUCCCCACUAUGUCCAUCUAUCUCCUGGGGAACCUAGCACUGGACACAGUACUCCAGGUGUGGCCACACCAGCACUGAGAAGAGGCAAAGGAUCACCUCCCUUGACUUGCUGACAGUACUUUACCUGAUGCUGCUCAGGAUACUAUUCACCUUCUUUGCCAAAAGGGUGCUUUGCUUGGUUACAGCCGACUUGUUUUCUCACAGGACUCCCAGGUCCUUUUCUGCCAAAUUGCCUUUUCUGCAAAGCUUACUUAAAUAUUUGGUGAGGAGAAGGCUUUUGGCUAACUUUUUACCACGCAGGGCAUCUGAUUAAAAUCAAAUAUUAGGAAAAUUUCAUUCAAAAUUGUAGAGCUGUUUCUGAAAAUGCAGAGUAUGGGGAAAAUAUUUGCUAUUUAAAACAGUUCUAAUGGCCUUUCUUUCACAAAGGCCAUAAAACCCCUUGGCUUCUUUGUGGAGAAUAGUUUAAAAUUUAGCAGGAGGAAGGCCUUGCAUUGAAGACAUCUAUUGCUCAUACUGUGAAAAUGAGACUAAAUAUGUUUAUGUUACAGGUCUCUGAGCCUGCAGCUCAACUGAGAUCUAAGGUACAAGCAUUUUCGCACAUUUUCACAGGCUGUAUGUGAAUAUGUACAUAUGUCAAAGAAGAAGAUACUUCCUCUUCUGGUUGCACGAGCCAAAGUGAAAUUAUUCACAAACUGAUACUACGUCUGAAUCCUACCGUCAUGUUUUCGACUGUACAUGUGCAAAGGUGGGGUGAAUGAGGGAGCUGUGCAAUUCAAAUGGAGGUCAAGCACCAGCUACAACAGAUCAAGAGGUAAACAUGGGUAAUGGGAAUGUUAGCAUAUGUCUGAUUGUACAGAUUCAGACAUAUCAAGUCUUAUGAUCGCUGAAGAUAUUCUUCAUUGCUCUCUUAUGUGACCCCAAUAACCAACUCUUCUGUAUUAGCUUUUGCCCCCUCAGUGUGAACAGAAAAAAAAAAGAAUAAAACUCUACUAUUAUGA